rnacentral:rRNA from 1 species
UACGUAGGGUGCGAGCGUUGUCCGGAAUUAUUGGGCGUAAAGAGCUCGUAGGCGGUGUGUCACGUCGAUCGUGAAAACUUGGGGCUUAACUCUGAGCUUGCGGUCGAUACGGGCAUCACUGGAGUUCGGCAGGGGAGACUGGAAUUCCUGGUGUAGCGGUGAAAUGCGCAGAUAUCAGGAGGAACACCGGUGGCGAAGGCGGCCUGCUGGGCAGUGGCUGACGCUGAGGCGCGACAGCGUGGGGGAGCAAACAGG